UCUUAUUGAGAGAGGUGGAGGGAAGUGCCCUAUGAAACCCGGCAACCGUCAUGUUAUAUGAUAAGGUGCCAAGUCACACAAAGUUUUACUUUGAAAGAUGAGA
rnacentral:ncRNA from 1 species